UACGGGGGGGGCAAGCGUUGUUCGGAAUUACUGGGCGUAAAGGGCUCGUAGGUGGCCAACUAAGUCAGACGUGAAAUCCCUCGGCUUAACCGGGGAACUGCGUCUGAUACUGGAUGGCUUGAGUUCGGGAGAGGGAUGCGGAAUUCCAGGUGUAGCGGUGAAAUGCGUAGAUAUCUGGAGGAACACCGGUGGCGAAGGCGGCAGCCUGGACCGACACUGACGCUGAGGAGCGAAAGCCAGGGGAGCAAACGGG
rnacentral:rRNA from 1 species